ACGAACGCUGGCGGCGUGCUUAACACAUGCAAGUCGAACGGGUCUGCCCUGUUUUUUGCGGGGUGGGUCAGUGGCGAACGGGUGAGUAACACGUGAGUAACCUGCCCCUCACUUCUGGAUAACCGCUUGAAAGGGUGGCUAAUACGGGGUGUUCUGGCUGUGCCGCAUGGUGUGGCUGGGAAAGAUUCACUUUUGUGGUGUUUUGGUGGGGGAUGGGCUCGCGGCCUAUCAGCUUGUUGGUGGGGUGAUGGCCUGCCAAGGCUUUGACGGGUAGCCGGCCUGAGAGGGUGGGCGGUCACACUGGGACUGAGAUACGGCCCAGACUCCUGCGGGAGGCAGCAGUGGGGGGUAUUGCACAAUGGGCGGAAGCCUGAUGCAGCGACGUCGCGGGAGGGAUGGAGGCCUUCGGGUUGUGAACCUCUUUCGCCGGUGAAGAAGGUCCUGCUCUUUGUGGUGGGGUUGACGGUAGCCGGGUUAUGAAGCGCCGGCUAACUACGUG
rnacentral:rRNA from 1 species